GUUGAAUGAAGAGUACAGAUGUGUGCAGC
rnacentral:piRNA from 1 species